AGUGGAAUUGCUGGGUAACAUGGUAAUUUUAUGUUUAACUUUUUGAGGAACUGCCAAACUAUUUUUCAUAGUGACUGCACCAUUUUACAUUCCUACCACCAAU
rnacentral:pre_miRNA from 1 species